UGUCCAAAAGUUGGAUAAAAUUCUUACAUCUCUAUUGUAGAAAUUUGAUGUAUGGAUUUUAAGAAGAAAAGAGAAGAAAGGGUUCUUUUCAUGAUCUCUAGCAUAGAGAUCAAGAUUCUCCUACUUCUUCUUGUUCUCUAAGAGUGUCUUGAGAGAAAAAAAAUUUUAACUAUUAAGAUGCAAUCUCUGCAAGGGAGCUAGCACCCUGGUGAGAUCAAAAGGCUUCUGAUC
rnacentral:lncRNA from 1 species